ACAUCUCCAUCAAGUUUUCCCUUUUCUUUCUGCAGUUACAGUAAAGAAGUUAGGUGCCUUGUAUAGACGACGUGGACGGUCUGUCGCUCCUUUGCACGAUUCAUUCAUUCAUUCUCAGAGCUUUCCAUUGCCUGCACCUCUCCGGCCAACAGCAAGGUCAAGACGCGAUCGACCUCCGGCCAUGAAAAGCUUCCAGACUCCGGGCGUGGUCCAAUUGAAGAUGGAUCUGCCGGCAGCGGCGGCGACGCCGGGCUUCAAACUGAGCGCGAAGAACAUGUCCGUUUUGUGCAUGAAUACCGCAACUGCCGUCGCAAUCUGGUAUUUUGUUUUCCUUUGUGUGGUCGCGGUGGCAUACACUCAUAGCUGGGCGGAGAAGCUGCGGUUGUUACCACUCUUCCUUUUGGCAUUAAUCGUCCCCUUGCUUGGAAAAGUCAUGACACGAGAGAAGAGACACAGUUGUGGGUGACACACCACCUCUCUCAUUAUCAUGUUGUAGCAGUGCGACACUGUUGUUUCCAUAUGCUACAAGCAUGGGAAAUACCGUCCUUAUAUUCAGUUUAUGUACUGUGGUUGUAAAAUCGUUUGAAUCUGGGUUGUGUAUUGUAUGAAUCAUGACCAUGUCCGCAAAAUCAAAAACAUAGUCUAGUUAUGUAUUGUCUCGGUUGAACUUUCGUUUUGAAA